GUAGAGCAGCAUUCAGCUGCCGGGGCUUGAACUGGUGCCCAUAUGGGAUGCUGGCCCUGUAGAUAGAGGCUUAACCUCUCAUGCCACAGCACCGGCACCUCCUGGAGAACUAAUGGGAUUCUGGAAGCUGCUCCAGGGUGCUUCUGGUUCCUGUGUCAGGGUGGACUAUGGCUUUCAGGGCAGGAGCAGGCAGGAGAAACCCCCUGUGUUCUGCGCGCUCUCUCACUUUGUUUCCAUAGCCAGUAGGGAACAGUAGAGGGAUGCCCUGAGGGAUGGUCUUCUGGGCUCCACCUUGGCUUGUGUCUCACUGCAGCCCACAGGCUGUGCUGCUUCAUUCUUAGCAGCAGUUACUCUGCAAAGACCAAAGGAAACAAAUUUGUCCAUGCAUCUUGUUGGGGAAGUGGUUCCUUCCUGGUUUUACGAAGCAUGGAAGUAUUUCACAGAUCAGCUGAAGAAAGGUGUGGAGCGUGUGUCACCUUCAUAGAAGACCUUUCUUCCUUGGAGCCUCUCAUGUAGCAUGUACCUGCCUUUCUUCUCAUUUGACUGACCACCUACUUUCAAAUCAUUUGAUCCCCAACGUUUGUCUGUAUUCAAAUAAAGUAGACUCACUAUCAAUGUCAAA